AAACUCAAAUGAAUUGACGGGGCCGCACAAGCGGUGGAGCAUGUGGUUAAUUCGAAGCAACGCGAAGAACCUUACCAGGUCUUGACAUCCCUGACACCCGAGAGAUCGGCGUUCCCCUUCGGGGGACAGGGUGACAGGUGGUGCAUGGUUGUCGUCAGCUCGUGUCGUGAGAUGUUGGGUUAAGUCCCGCAACGAGCGCAACCCUCGACCUUAGUUGCCAGCAUUCAGUUGGGCACUCUAAGGUGACUGCCGGCUAAAAGUCGGAGGAAGGUGGGGAUGACGUCAAAUCAUCAUGCCCCUUAUGACCUGGGCUACACACGUGCUACAAUGGGCGGUACAAAGGGUCGCGAACCCGCGAGGGGGAGCCAAUCCUCAAAGCUGGUCUCAGUUCAGAUUGUAGGCUGCAACCCGCCUACAUGAAGUCGGAGUUGCUAGUAACCGCAGGCCAGCCAUACUGCGGUGAAUACGUUCUCGGGGAUU
rnacentral:rRNA from 1 species